AUAAAAGAAAGAUCUACAGAUCCUGGAGACUUCAAUUAGAACAUGCGGUUUGGAUUGGCUAAAACAGUAGAAGAGAGCAACUUCAACUCAUUUUCUUUUAGAAGAAGCAACUUAAUUCUUUGAUGGUUUCCUAAUGCAUCUCACGGCCACAAAAUUAAAUGGGGUUUUAGUCCUUGUCAUUGGUUGCAAGGAGGUGCACCUUACGUAAAAAUCAAUUUGGCAACCUCCAAAAUUGGACAAGGUUUCACGUGAAAUCAAAUGGGAGCCUUGUUUUCUUUAAUUUAAUGUUGAUGCAUGAUGCAAGAGCAAUAGAAGAGAGGAGUGGAACGACUAGAAGGAAAGAGCAUACACACGGCUGUCCCAAUUGGAGUUGUCCAUUACAUGAGCUGUUUACAAUUUGGUUCAUACAUCUUUUAAUUGAAGUUUGAUUCCAGCAAGCACAUACACGUCCUGCACAUGGGAUGAGGUGUUGAAUCACAAUUUUAAUGGAAUGAAAAGCAUGAAGGUGGCUGCCACAUUUUCUGAAACACACACGGCCAUCACCCAAUUAUCAAUAGCACUUGCAUUAAAAAUGAAUAAAUGCACCCACAUGGAUAGCAUAUGGACGGCAAAGUGAGAGAAUAUGGAUGGUGGUAUGAUUGCACACGGCACCUUAUGCACAUGAUGGGAAGCCUUUGGCUUUAUUCUUUUAUGAAGUAUAGGAAGGAAGUGUCACGGCAGCACACAUCAAAGUGGAGGGCCCUCCUUUUGUUGGCUAUGAUUGAAGGAAGUGUUGAAAGAAGUUGAUGGAAGGAGCACAUCAUACAACUCUCGGCAUCCAGCAGAUGGAGAAAUCACAUUUCAAUUAUUUCUCUUAAGUGGAGACAACAUAAUGAAGAGAAGGGACCACCACCCCACUUGGAGAAGCACCUCACGGUUUUUCUCUCUAGCUGCACCGAAAUGUCUUCUCUUCCUUUCUAUUGAUGAGCUUCAAGUAAAGACACUAAGGCAACCAUGAGAGACCAACAAGCAUACGUAGCUGCCACAAAAGAAGUCCAGCCAUCACACCUUCAAUGGAUUGCUACGGCAAUCACACAAAAAGUCCAGCCAUCACAACCAUGGAAGCAAAAGGGAGAAACACAUGCAAGGAAGCUUCAUCCUGCAGCAACUUCUUCACGUUCCAGCUGCACCACUUCUUGGUCCAGCAGCUAAGGUAGCUAGCGGAGGUGGGUCAUCCAACUUCUUGAGUGCUCCAUCCAAUAACUUCAGUGCUUCAACCACCAAGGGGACAACAAUCAUCAUCACCUUUCAAGUAAGUGGAGAGACCAAAGAGAAGGGAGUGCACGGCUAUAAUGGAAAUGAAGACACAAUUUCGGUGAGGGGAAGGUUGGGAGAAGGGAGGAGGCCGAGAGUUUGAAGGGAAGGUUGGACUAAGAGGGGAGGCCUAGAGUUUUGGAUGGUAGGCAGAGGGAGUGUUGGAGAGGAGAAGGAGGCCGUGAGCUCCAUGAGGAUGGUGGGAGGAUGAAGAAACCGUCACUGCUGGAAUGGGGAAGGAUGUUCUUGAACUCUUAUUGUCUUCUCAUUUGGUUUUGUACACUUUUCCAUUUAAGCUUUUGUUCAUUUGCUGUUAUAUUCAUCUGUGUACACUUUUCCUUCUUUUAUUUGUGCUGCAAAAGUUCACGGUUGUUAAGAGCUAUGUUCCUUCCUUCAUUUAGUUUUCUUUGAUGCAUUUGGUUAAAUGUUUUCCUUGUUUAAAGCUUAAUGUUCACGGCUGUCCAAGGUGGAGAAUGAAGUAUCGUUUCAUGAUUUAAUUUUAAUGUUGAAAGGAAGCAAAGAUUAAAAUUGAAAGAAAGUGAAGAAGUUAAAUUGUUUUCGGAGGUGCAGCAAGGAAAGCUCUCGGCAUACAAGCAACAGAUAUAUCAGACUUGGCAUUUGAAGCAAGAUUUUGUAUGUGGUCAUGGCAAAACCUUUUGCUGGGAUUUAGUUUUCUACUAUUCCUGUCGACAAGGCACAUUGUAAGAUUCUAUAUCUCGAAUACACGUAUAUAUAGAUUACUACUCUUUGCUCUAAGACAAUUCAGCUACUUCUUAAAUCAUAUCUACUACAUAAUAUCACUCCUUAUUUUGUUUGUUUGCGUACAUGAAUAUACAAGAUUUAUUUGUUAGUACUUUAUAUCUUGUAUUAUUGUUUUCAAAAUUUUUAAUGGUAUUUAAUACAUUUAAUAUCUAUCAAGGUGGUGUAUUAUGGAAAAGAAAUGAAGAACCUAAUUUGAUCAAAUGCAUUAUAGAAUUUGAAACAGAUACAUGAUCACAUCGUUCAAUUUUCCAAGAGAAGCGAACCUUCUAUAUGACUCAACCUGUGAAACUACUCUGAUUAUACCAAAGGAGUAAUCUGCUUUCAAUUCGUGUCAAGCUACAGAUGAGGAGGAAGUCUUCAAAAUUCUAAAUGAAAGAUCCCUUUAUCCUAUAGGAUGGAUUCAUAAUUCACAGCAUAGAUCAAAGAACCCUGCAAUCAUUUGUGAGGGGAAAUUCCUAUAGAGGAAGAAUUACCACUCUAACAUACCUAGACGAGAAUGAAGGCGGAGAGUGAGAGUGCUGGUACUGGCUACCUCACCUUUUCAGAUCCAAAGGGGAAUGCUGGUUUCUGUCAGACCUCGGAAAAACGCACCCAAAUCCUUCCUGUCAGAGUCAUUUAAAACGCACCCAAAACCCUCUGCGCGGACGCCAGAUGUCAAGAAACGAGGAUCCGAAAAUCAGAUAGUGGAAUGCAGGCACCAGUUCUACACUUCCGGCGUAGAAGACGAUCGUUUGAACUGAUCAGUUUAGGAUUCUGAACUGCUCUUAGAACGUGCUGUAGAACGUAAGGCUUCUGUUAAAAGGAGAACCCUAGUCUGUAUCUGUGAACGUUCGACUAUCUUAAGAGGAAGCUUAAAAGUUAAAGUAAAACAUGUAGCAUUGGAGAUUGGCAUUUCACCAUAUACAUUAAAUGCAAAUACAAAUGAAGCUUAUAUGGCCCCUGAUGUCCGACAUAAAAUAGUCAAUUGGAUAAAAGACCAUGUAUAUUCUGGUGCAUUUCAUAAGGGUUUAAAGGUCUUCACACUUUCAAUAUGUAUAAUUAAAAUAUAAUGCUUUUUUAAACUUUUUUUUUUCUUUAUAUUGUUCUACUGUUUUGUUUUAUUACUCAACCCUUUUGCAUAUAUAGAAUCAACAUUUAGUGCUUUUUUAUACUUUUAUUUCUACCUCCAAUUUAAAGGUCUAAUGGAAGUAGAAAAGUGGGUGAUAAGAGACUGGUUUGAGCUAUUGACAUGGCUGCAUUUGAGCUUGAUCUACUAGAAGAAUAUGAUUCACGCUUUAAGAAGUUGAGUCUAGGUGAUAAAUUGCCUAUCAAAUUCUCCAAGUGAUUAAUUGUUAGAAAGAUAAGUUGUUGAAUUAUAGACAAUGUAAUUGUUAAUAUUUUAAGUUGGAUUACAAACAAUGUAAUUUUCAAUUUCUAUUUAUAACCGUU